GGCUACAGACUCCCACACAACACCUGUAAACAGUACUCGUCGCCUGUGGAAGGUGGAGACUCGUUUAGUGAAGCAUGUGUGUGCCCUGCCUCUUUUUAGGGCCGAGCCUACUUCCUGGUGGAUGAGGCAGCUCGUCCGUGUUGUCGUAGUAAGUAAAGGGGGCAGCUGAAGGCGGAGGCGGCUGUUUAUUAAGGUCUACGGCAGUUAGUUAGUCAUAGCACAUUUUGUUAUUUUUUAGAAGCAGAAGAAUUAAAAAAAAAUGGGAAGCACGGUGAUGGAGUCCAGCAAAGAUAGCUCAAAGAAAAUGCCCAAAAAGAAGAGAAGUCUGCGGAUAAACAUGCCAGACUUUGGUGCGUUUACUGCCCCUCAAGUGGAGACGAGUGGCUCAACCAAAAGUGGCACUCAGACGGGAGAGCGACGCAUCCGUUCGGCCAGCCCCACCAAAGGAGUGCCUGCAAAGGGCUCAGCCGGCGUCCCGCUGCCCCCGACUCCCCACUCUGCUCCUGUCCAAUCAAAGGCUGUCUCAGGUUCACCCAAAACCAUCUUCCCCUAUCCCUCACAUCAGAACUCUUCACCCAAGUCCCCCCACCGCCUGAGCUUCAGUGGUAUAUUCCGGUCAUCGUCCAGCUCCACAACUGGAAGCAUCAAAAUCUUUUCCAGAACCAGGAGGGCCUCUGGACGCUCUACGCCACCAUCCACACCCACCCAGGCGUCCAGCCAACCCGUGUUCACCCAGGAAGCCCAGCCGAGCGGCCCCAGCCCCGAGCGCCCGGAGCCCAGCUCUCGCACCCGCUCCCUCUCCACACCCCCAGACACAGGCCAGCGCCUCAGCCUUCCUUCUGCUAAACCCCCGAUCCCUUCAUCGAGCCCUGUGCCACCUUAUUCUACCUCACAACAAGUCUACGGUUUAUUCGAAGGCAUGCUGGAGAAACUUGAACUGGAUGAUGAUGCUGCUGAACCUGAGAGUGAUAUUUACAUGCGCUUUAUGAAAUCCCACAAGUGCUACGACAUUGUUCCCACAAGUUCCAAGUUGGUUGUGUUUGACACGGCGCUCCAAGUUAAGAAAGCGUUCUUCGCCUUGGUAGCCAACGGUGUGCGAGCUGCUCCACUAUGGGACACAGAGAAACAAAGCUUUGUGGGAAUGCUGACAAUCACAGAUUUCAUCAUCAUACUACACAGAUACUAUAAGUCGCCAAUGGUGCAAAUUUAUGAAUUAGAGGAACAUAAGCUUGAGACGUGGAGAGAGGUUUACCUUCAAGCAACAUUCAAACCUCUGGUCAACAUAUCACCAGAUGCAAGCCUGUUUGAUGCAGUGUACACCCUCAUCAAAAACAAAAUCCACCGCUUGCCCGUCAUCGACCCCGUCACAGGGAAUGCACUUUAUAUUCUCACACACAAGAGGAUCCUCAAGUUCCUCCAGCUGUUUAUGUGUGAAAUGCCAAAGCCAGCUUUUAUGAAGCAGACUCUGGGCGAACUGGGCAUCGGGACGUACCACGAAAUUGCUUUCAUCCACCCGGACACACCCAUCAUCAAAGCGCUCAACAUCUUUGUGGAGAGACGAGUUUCUGCUUUACCUGUGGUGGAUGACUCAGGCAAAGUUGUGGAUAUUUACUCCAAGUUUGAUGUGAUUAACUUGGCUGCUGAGAAGACCUACAACAACCUGGACAUUACAGUGACCCAAGCUCUGAAGCAUCGCUCGCAGUACUUUGAAGGAGUCAUGAAGUGCCAUAAAAUGGAAACAAUGGAGACCAUUGUGGACAGAAUAGUGAAAGCUGAAGUGCAUCGGUUGGUGGUGGUAGACGAACGCUCCAGUAUCGAGGGCAUCGUUUCCCUGUCAGACAUCCUCCAGGCUCUGGUGCUGAGCCCUGCAGGUAUAGAUGCUCAGCAUUCCUAAGCCCCAACUCCCCUUCUGUCCUGGACCCUGAGCUCUCUCCCCCCCCACCUGCCCUCUAACCCUGCCCCAGAUGCCUGUAAGGAGGAGAGCCUGACUGAAUGAGAGCGGAGAGCGUCAGCUGAAAUGGAGGUGUGAUGGGAGUAAACAAAUGGAAAGUUUUAGGUAGGGGGGGCGUGAGGCUGAGCGGAGCCGGUCUGAAGGUCCCAGAGCCGCCUGCAACCGACGCACUGUAACGGCCGGGAAUCCAAAGAGCUAAGGCAGCAGAUUGAAGUGGACUUCUGCACUGAGGAUUGAUUUUUCUGAAUUUAUUUCUUGUUUGUUUGAACACUGAUCAGACGCACGCACGUUACACAUUCAUGACAGAGCGAGCAAACACACGAGCAGAUACAUUAUGGUCGCCUUCCAGGGAAAGGUGAGACAUUCGAGACGGGUUCUGAUGAAUUUGGUGUUUUGUGUUGUGUUGUUAAAAUCAUGCUGGAAUCACUGCAUGAUUUAACAUUUUUAUGAAUGUUGUCACCUCCAGGAACGAUGACGAUAAACCGAUGCAACUUACUUGGUUUGAUAGCAAACUUCACUUCACCUCCAAAGAGGCCAUUUUGCGACUAAAGGAAAAUUUGCUGGUGCCAAUAUCAAGCACUCGAUGCCCAAUCUUUAUCUGUACCUGUUUGUUUCCCCUGCCCUCAUGUAAUGAGUGCAAUUAUUAGGCCUUAUAAACAAGUUUGAAGUUGUAAUAGUGAAGUUGGGGGCAAAUUUCUUAAGGUUUUCAUUAGUUUGGGUGCAUUUUUUGGAGUUAAAGUCUAAACCAUAUCAGAAGUCUCAAGACUUUCUGCUAAAUCUGUCUUAUUCUGAACAGAAGUAUCACAUUGUCUCGGCACAAAUACGCAGAAGUAAAUCUAACUACGUUAAUACUGUCAGCAAGAGGAAAAGAGAUCUCUCGCUUUUGCGUCACGAGGGCUUAACAGUCUCCGUGGCGCAAAGGUUUCUGCUGGAUUUAAAACGCUAUUUCAACUGCUCUUUCGUUUAUUUUCAGCGGCUUUCGUGUUUCAGAUAAUCGGUGACUCUAACGUGCAAAGCGGCGCGGUCAUCUCGGCUCUAGCUCGACAGGACUCAUCUCCAUCUUUGACUGUAAAUAGGAUCGUUUUCGGGAAACGUGUCACAGAAAGCUUUAUUUUUACGAAUGUGUUGAAAGAGACUGCAGUUUUCAUGUUAUUUUUGUAAAUAUAGUUCAGAGAAACAUGUCGGAUCAACAUGUACUGUAAAUGUGCAAGCAUGAGAAACUACACUUCAGCAGUAUGAAUGUUCUUUGUUUUACUUUUUUCUAUUUUUCUGGAUGCGGAAAAAUAAACGGACACUGAAUGUACUUUAAA